UACGUAGGGUGCGAGCGUUAAUCGGAAUUACUGGGCGUAAAGCGUGCGCAGGCGGUUCGUUAAGUCAGCUGUGAAAGCCCCGGGCUUAACCUGGGAAUGGCGGUUGAAACUGGCGAACUUGAAUCUGGCAGAGGGGGGUGGAAUUCCACGUGUAGCAGUGAAAUGCGUAGAGAUGUGGAGGAACACCGAUGGCGAAGACAGCCCCCUGGGCUGAGAUUGACGCUCAGGCACGAAAGCGUGGGGAGCAAACAGG
rnacentral:rRNA from 1 species